rnacentral:pre_miRNA from 15 species
CAUUGUGUGAUACCAAUGUCAACAGUGCCUUAGCAGCACGUAAAUAUUGGCGUUAAGAUUUUAAAAGUAUCUCCAGUAUUAACUGUGCUGCUGAAGUAAGGUUGGCCCCUCUCUGCAAAAACAAA